UCAAAUGAUGAUUUUCCCGAUAGGGACAUCCGAUGCAAAAGCAGAUGAUGUGACCUGGACAAGAGAUUUUAGUAGAUGCUUCUUGACUAUCUGAAG
rfam:Penicillium arizonense strain CBS 141311 PENARI_contig012, whole genome shotgun sequence.